rnacentral:lncRNA from 1 species
UUUCUACUUGUUCUUCGAUUUUACUGAUGACUUUUAAAGCUCCCCAUUGCUUUUUUUCAGCUAGAACAUCUGAUAGUGCUGUUUGAGCUGACACAUACAAGAUCCAUCUGCUGAGAUCUGUGCCUUAGCAGUGAAGGAUCAAAACUCUCAUGAAUCAGUCUGCCAAAGGGGAUCAGGUCUGCUUGGGAACUCAUCUCUUAAAUUUUCCUGAACACUUUUAUUUGUGAGUCAGUCCUGAUCUUACACAAUAUUGGGGUCUAUCAAAUUUAUCUCCUACAGUUCUGUUGUAUUUUGCUGUCUGCGUUGUGCACUGUAUAUGGGAUUUUGAUGGUCGAUAAAGUGAAGUUUAUCAUUAUAUAUAAUAAUCAGAAGGAUAUUAGUGUUAGAUUUAAAAAAAACGGAUUCCCGAUGACGAACAUCAGUACUCUGAUCAGACGCAACGACGGUCUUUGUAACCACUAAGGGGCACUGCUGCACAGGAAACUCCGUAAGUCUUAAUAUACAAGCAUGUAGUUCCUGCUGUGGGCCAACAGGAGGCGCAGCGAAAAUUUGAAUUUUGUUUUCUAUAUAUACUUAUUCAUUGACUGAUUGGUCAUCAUUUUGAAUCAUGAAGCUUCCUCUGCUGCUGCUCUGCUCUGUGCUGCUGCUCUCCAUCUCAGGUCUGUCUCUUUUUAAAGGUUUAUUUAUCACAUGUUUAAGCUACAGAGUCAAAACUCUUUACUGGCCAAAGUACCAACUUGAAGAGCUCCAAACUGAUUGAACCUCAAACUGACCACAGUUACUCUGCUGUCACUGUGAUGAUUAAUCUUGGAACAGAGCUCAGAUUAAAGGCCAGUGGAAAAAAGUUUUUUGGACUUUAGGAUUCAUUAAGGGAAUUAUUCAUUCAUGGACAUGUUGAUUUAUGAUGAAUAGAGUGUAAACACAGAUUAGUGUGUUUAUUUUUGUUUGCUUUAACAUGUUUUUUGUUUUUUUACAGACAGACUGUGACAUUAAUGUGUUAACUAUGAACUGUUUCUGACUAUGAUCUAAGUAUGCAUUACUGAACUCCAUUAAUCAGGACUGAAAUUCUAUCUUCAUAAGGGAAAAGGCUGUGAGAUGAAAUAGUUCCUCUUUCACAGGUUGUCAACCUCACUUCAGGUCCUUUUUACAGAGACAGAAAAGAUGCAGAGUGAUGAUCUGCUGGGUCACAUUUCUGAGCCAAACACUGUGACAUCUUCCCAUUGUUCUCUAAUGAAUGUGUUUGUGUGUCUUCAGAGAUACGGACUGAUAUUAGAUUGUUUUUUUAUCCAGUUUUCUCAUAGAGGAGGCUUUGGUUUUUUCUCUCAGUCCAUGUGACCGUUUUACAGCAAUAAAACAUAGCUUUAAGCUCCACCACAGUGAGCAAUAAUCAUUGGAGGACAGUAAAGAAUUGUAUUUAGUCUCCUCAAAGAAUAAUACUACAGCGAAUACUCAAAAAUGGACUUUGCCAUGACCGACAUUAACACACAACAGGUGGAUAUUUUUUCCCACCUUAUUGUUCACAGGUUGUAACCUUAGAACCUUGCUUCUCUUCACACACCUGACUGUUGUCUACUGUAUUAUUUAGAAAAUUAAAAAAAUUAGACCGGUCCCUUUUAAAGCUUUAAAUCUCUUCUCUGACAGAAAAGCCACACCUGCCACAUUCAUCUACAGAUUAUUACUGAGAUAGGAGUCACUCUCUGUUCAAUUGAAUCUCAUGUGUAAUGUGUGUACGUGCAUGCGUGCAUUUGUGUGUGUGUGUGUGUGUGUGUGUGUGUAGUCCUGUCUCAGGAAAAUGAGGGUCCAGCUGACGGACAAGGAGACUGUGCUGAACCCUGGGCGGUAAGACUCAGAAACACACACAUUAACACACUAAUACUCAUGCAGAGCUCAGAGGAGUGGUGUGUUUCCGUUGAUGUUAAGUUGUAAACAUGAUUUUGUCACUUCUAAACCUUCUGGGGUGAAUUUACCAAGAACAGAGUGGAGUUGCCUUUUGUACCAUGAGUUGUGCAUCAUUUGUGUAGGGGAAUCUCUUCAUACAUUUAGGUUAAGAAAUAUAGAGUAAUUAUCUUUUAGUAAGAAGCUACAAAUAAUCUAGGUUGGCCUGCUCCUGCAGCCCCACGACCAUGAGAUUGUAAGCAAGGCUGUCUUGCAGGAGCCCGAACUAUCUGUCUGUUGGAACAUUUAAUCUCUGCCAGGGUCAAGACGAACCUAAACAAAGUGUCGUGGGGCAGACAUGUCAUCAUGAGGGGCCUUCUGGAGAAUUCACAUACACACACACACACACACACACACACACACACACACACACACACACACACACACACACACACACACACACACACACAGGAUAAAAGGGAGUAGAAGAAAAGCUAGGGAGGCUUCCUUCGGUCUUGGUCGAGACUCUGUUUGUCAUCUGUACCGAUUUCUACAUCUGUACUAUUAAAGACGCCCCAGGCUGUUCUUCAGAUCUCAUCCUGUCUCCUGUGCACUGUUUUACUAAGUUUAUGCUGGACUUUCUACAACAUUUGCCUCUGCUCUGAGCUCCAUCUCCACCACUCAUGUACAUUUGUGUAGUAAUUAAAGGCUACAAAUUUAUUGAUGAGAUGUGUGUGUGUGUUUUUGCAUGUGUGUGUGCGUGUGUGUUUUAUCCAGGCCCGUUGUGAGAAAUACAACUUACCUAUCUGCCAUCGGGAUCUUAACCCUGUUUGUGGUGAUGAUGGGGAAACCUACAGUAACGAGUGUACACUCUGUUUUCGCAACUUGUAAGAUGUGCGCACACACACGCACGCACACACACACACACACACACACACACACACACACACACACACACACACACACACACACACACACACACACACACAAAUCUGCUCUUUCAAUCCUUUCUACCUGUUAAGGUAAUUCGUGGAGACAGUUGAUUACUGGACAGCUGACCAGUAACUUCUGCUCUGAGAUCAAUCUGAUGUUUUCAUCCAUUGUCUGUGCUCUUACUGAGCUCAGAUCAAUGGAUGGCUUAGUUUGAGCAGAGAGAGCAGUGUGUUGUUAGCAUGCAGAUGGAUCACGAUGGCUGCAUCAUUGAGUUUAAAGAGAUUUUAGGGUGAACAGGUUGUAUUUCUGUGAGUUGGGCUCUUUUAUGCUCUAGUGAGACUUUAUGAGAUUCUGGAUACAUGAUUUUGGCCAGUAUGCAGUAUGUCUCCAGAAAAUAAAAACAGGCUGAGAGAGGAACCCUGAGGAACACCAUACUGAGGUUUAUCAGAGAGACAGAAAAACUCCUGUCAGAGAUAUAUUUACAGUCUAUAGCUCCCACACUCUGAUUUCUCAAAGACUAGUUUUACAAUAUUCGUAUUAACUCCACACACACAUUUCAAAUGUAAAAACUAACUCCUUGAAUAUUCUGUUUUUUUUUGUUUUGUUUUUGUUUUUCUACAGGGAGAAUCACGCCACUGUGAAAAUUCUGAGAGAAGGGAAAUGCGAUUAACUGCUGUGUGCCACACACAUGCACACACAUACUGAAUAAAGUCUCAUACUGAUUCCCUCACACCCUCUGUCUGUGUGUUUAUUUCACUUGAACUCUGAAGAUAAAGCAGACUCUGAAACACUAAUCUCCAUGUUUGGAGCUCGACCACCUACCUCAUGUUUUUGCCUGUUCAGACCCAACAGUAAAUUAAUGAAUAACUCUGAGAAACAACAAAACACUGCGCUGUUAGGAUAAAAUAUUACCUUACACCCACAAACAUUUUACAUAACAAAACAACAAAUGUUAACAAAAUCUGUAUUGGAAAACACGCAAAGAAUAAAGAAAAUAUUAAAAUGUUUAAGAAAAACAAAAACUUUUUGAAAACAAAAAUAUUUUGGAAACAGAUAUUUUCAAAACACAAGGGAACUUUGAUAAAGGAAAAAAUAUUAUAAAACCAUUAAAAUUGUUUAUAAAAUGCAAAUUUUGGAACCAUGAAAAUAUUUUGAAAACACAAAUAAAUUUGUAAAUACAAAAAUAUUUUAAAAAACAAAAAUAGUUAUGAGAAAACACUAUAAUACUUAAGAGUAUAAAAAAAAUUUAUCUUACCUAAAAAUGUUCUGCUCUCAAAAUGUUUUGCUGCCAAAGGGGUAGGGGUAGGGCCAAACCACUUGAUUGUGAUGGGACAAAAUUGAGGUGCUGAAGUAUUUAACAUUUUUGUAUUUUCAAAAUAUAUUUGCUUUUUUAAUUAUUAUUCCUUUUUUUUGCUGAGAUCUGUGCCUUAGCAGUGAAGGAUCAAAACGCUCAUGAAUCAGUCUGCCAAAGGGGAUCAGGUCUGCUUGGGAACUCAUCUCUUAAAUUUUCCUGAACACUUUUAUUUGUGAGUCAGUCCUGAUCUUGCACAAUAUUGGGGUCUAUCAAAUUUAUCUCCUACAGUUCUGUUGUAUUUUGCUGUCUGCGUUGUGCACUGUGUAUGGGAUUUUGAUGGUCUAUUAAGUGAAGUUUAUCAUUAUAUAUAAUAAUCAGAAGGAUAUUAGUGUUAGAUUUAAAAAAAACGGAUUCCCGAUGACGAAUUUCAGUACUCUGAUCAGACGCAACGGUCGUUGUAACCACUAGGGGGCACUGCUGCACAGGAAACUCCGUAAGUCUUAAUAUACAAGCAUGUAGUUCCUGCUGCGGGCCAACAGGAGGCGCAGCGAAAAUUUGAAUUUUGUUUUCUAUAUAUACUUAUUCAUUGACUGAUUGGUCAUCAUUUUGAAUCAUGAAGCUUCCUCUGCUGCUGCUCUGCUCUGUGCUGCUGCUCUCCAUCUCAGGUCUGUCUCUUUUUAAAGGUUUAUUUAUCACAUGUUUAAGCUACAGAGUCAAAACUCUUUACUGGCCAAAGUACCAACUUGUAAAACUCUAAACUGAUUGAACCUCAAACUGACCACAGUUACUCUGCUGUCACUGUGAUGAUUAAUCUUGGAACAGAGCUCAGAUUAAAGGCCAGUGGAAAAAAGUUUUUUGGACUUUAGGAUUCAUUAAGGGAAUUAUUCAUUCAUGGACAUGUUGAUUUAUGAUGAAUAGAGUGUAAACACAGAUUAGUGUGUUUAUUUUUGUUUGCUUUAACAUGUUUUUUUGUUUUUUACAGACAGACUGUGACAUUAAUGUGUUAACUAUGAACUGUUUCUGACUAUGAUCUAAGUAUGCAUUACUGAACUCCAUUAAUCAGGACUGAAAUUCUAUCUUCAUAAGGGAAAAGGUUGUGAGAUGAAAUAGUUCCUCUUUCACAGGGUGUCAACCUCACUUCAGGUCCUUUUUACAGAGACAGAAAAGAUGCAGAGUGAUGAUCUGCUGGGUCACAUUUCUCUGAGCUAAACACUGUGACAUCUUCCCAUUGUUCUCUAACGAAUGUGUUUGUGUGUCUUCAGAGAUACGGACUGAUAUUAGAUUAUUUUUUAUCCAGUUUUCUCAUAGAGGAGGCUGUGGUUUUUUCUCUCAGUCCAUGUGACCGUUUUACAGCAAUAAAACAUAAAUUUAUGCUCCACCACAGUGAGCAAUAAUCAUUGGAGGACAGUAAAGAAUUGUAAUAAGUCUCCUCAAAGAAUAAUACUCCAGCGAAUACUCAAAAAUGGGACUUGGCCAUGACCGACAUUAACACACAACAGGUGGAUAUUUUUUCCCACCUUAUUGUUCACAGCUUGUAACCUUAGAGCCUUGCUUCUCUUCACACACCUGACUGUUGUCUACUGUAUUAUUUAGAAAAUUAAAAAAAUUAGACCGGUCCCUUUUAAAGCUUUAAAUCUCUUCUCUGACAGAAAAGCCACACCUGCCACAUUCAUCUAAAGAUUAUUACUGAGAUAGGAGUCACUCUCUGUUCAAUUGAAUCUCAUGUGUAAUGUGUAUACGUGCAUGCGUGCAUUUGUGUGUGUGUGUGUGUGUGUGUGUGUGUAGUCCUGUCUCAGGAAAAUGAGGGUCCAGCUGACGGACAAGGAGACUGUGCUGAACCCUGGGCGGUAAGACUCAGAAACACACACAUUAACACACUAAUACUCAUGCAGAGCUCAGAGGAGUGGUGUGUUUCCGUUGAUGUUAAGUUGUAAACAUGAUUCCGUCACUUCUAAACCUUCUGGGGUGAAUUCACCAAGAACAGAGUGGAGUUGCCUUUUGUACCAUGAGUUGUGCAUCAUUUGCCUCUGCUCUGAGCUCCAUCUCCACCACUCAUGUACAUUUGUGUAGUAAUUAAAGGCUACAAAUUUAUUGAUGAGAUGCGUGUGUGUGUGUUUUUGCGUGUGUUUUUGUGUGUGCGUGUGUGUUUUAUCCAGGCCCAUUGUGAGAAAUACGACUUACCUUACUGCUUUAAGGUUUAUAACCCUGUUUGCGGUGAUGAUGGCGUAACCUACAGUAACGAGUGUACACUCUGUUUUCACAACUUGUAAGAUGUGCACACACACACACACACGCACGCACGCACAACCACACACACACACACACACACACACACACACACACACACACACACACACACACACACACACACACACACACACACACAAAUCUGCUCUUUCAAUCCUUUUCUACCUGUUAAGGUAAUUCGUGGAGACAGUUGAUUACUGGACAGCUGACCAGUAACUUCUGCUCUUAGAUCAAUCUGAUGUUUUCAUCCAUUGUCUGUGCUCUUACUGAGCUCAGAUCAAUGGAUAGCUUAGUUUGAGCAGAGAGAGCAGUGUGUUGUUAGCAUGCAGAUGGAUCAUGAUGGCUGCAUCAUUGAGUUUAAAGAGAUUUUAGGGUGAACAGGUUGUAUUUCUGUGAGUUGGGCUCUUUUAUGCUCUAGUGAGACUGUGAGAUUCUGGAUACAUGAUUUUGGCCAGUAUGCAGUAUGUCUCCAGAAAAUAAAAAGAGGCUGAGAGAGGAACCCUGAAGAACACCAUACUGAGGUUUAUCAGAGAGACAGAAAAACUCCUGUCAGAGAUAUAUUUACAGUCUAUAGCUCCCACACUCUGAUUUCUCAAAGACUAUUUUUACAAUAUUCGUAUUAACUCCACACACACAUUUCAAAUGUAAAAACUAACUCCUUGAAUGUUCUGGGGGUUUUUUUGUUUGUUUUUCUACAGGGAGAAUCACGCCACUGUGAAAAUCCUGAGAGAAGGGGAAUGCGAUUAACUGCUGUGUGCCACACGCAUGCACACACAUACUGAAUAAAGUCUCAUACUGAUUCCCUCACACCCUCUGUCUGUGUGUUCAUUUCACUUGAACUCUGAAGAUAAAGCAGCGUCUGAAACACUGAUCUCCAUGUUUGGAGCUCGACCACCUACCUCAUGUUUUUACCUGUUCAGACCCAACAGUAAAUUAAUGAAUAACUCUGAGAAACAUCAAAACACUGCGCUGUUAGGAUAAAAUAUUACCUUACACCCACAAACAUUUUACAUAACAAAACAACAAACAUUAACAAAAUCUGUAUUGGAAAACACACAAAGAAUAAAGAAAAUAUUAAAAUGUUUAAGAACAACAAAAACAUUUUGAAAACAAAAAUAGUUGGAAACAGAUAUUUUCAAAACAUAAGAGAACUUUGAUAAAGGAAAAAAUAUUGUAAAACCAUUAAAAUUGUUUAUAAAACGCAAAUCUUGGAACCAUGAAAAUAUUUUGAAAACACAAAUAAAUUUGUAAAUACAAAAAUAUAUAAAAAAAAAAAAAUAGUCAUGAGAAAAAACAAUAAUACUUAAGAGUAUAAAGAAAAAUUCUCUUACCUAAAAAUGUUCUGCUCUCAAAAUAUUUUGCUGCCAAAGGGGUAGGGGUAGGGCCAAACCACUUGAUUGUGAUGGGACAAAAUUGAGGUGCUGAAGUAUUUAACAUUUUUGUAUUUUCAAAAUAUAUUUGCUUUUUUAAUUAUUAUCACCUUUUUUUUAAUUAGUGUUGAUCUGUGGUUUAAAAAUCGGUCUGCUUUUUAUACAAAGUACUAGGGCCGAAAGUCUGUUGAUCCUGGAGAAUUCUCAGAUAUUAACCCAUUCAGACAGCACAUUUACAUGUUGUUCAAAAGUUAGGAUUUUUGCCUUAGUUGGACUGGGACUGGACCUCUGGUAUUUUGGCCUCCUGUGUGGAAUAGAUAAUUCACAAAAAUAAAGUUGAUUUAACUCUAUAGCUCCUGGAACUCACUAUGCAACAUGUACCUGCCCUCCUCAAAGCAUGUGUCAUGUCCUUUGUUGCAGCAUUUCUUAUUUCUUAAUUUCCUGUUUUUUUUGUCCUGUCAUAUGUUUUUGUGUAACUGUAGCCUAGUACUUUUGAAAAGUCAUCAGUGAAAAAAAAAAGGUGCAUCCUCUCUCGGAUCAAUGUGAAAGUGCAUUUUUAAAACUGUAACAAAACAAACUCCAACCACAGUAUGAAGAAACUGAAAAGAAACAAACUAUAAAGUCAGUUGAACAGAGAAGAAGAAGACGACCUUUAUUGAUCCCCGAGGGGAAAUUCAUUGAGAUAUAUAAUAUAUAAUAUACCCCUCAGAGCAGGUGUACAUUAGUUUUACUUUAAAUACAUGCUAUAUGAUCUUUGUCUGUUUUUAAGGUUUAUAAAAUAAAGGGUGUCACAUUUAUUUAUUUACCACUAACCCUAACCAAUAACAAUGUAAUCAACAAAUUAUUAAAAGUGUUUCAUAGUUUUAUUAAAAGGUCUUUAUACCCAGCAUAAUUUAAAAUGAUUAAAUUCUGGAAGUCGUCAAGCUUCCUGUGUUUAUCUAAAGCAAUGUUUUUACAUGCAUAUCAAUCACGUUUAACAUAACUGUAAUAUAUGGUGUCAUCUCUCCUGUUUAAGCUUCUUUGAACCGGCUUUCUACUUGUUCUUCGAUUUUACUGAUGACUUUUAAAGCUCCCCAUUGCUUUUUUUCAGCUAGAACAUCUGAUAGUGCUGUUUGAGCUGACACAUACAAGAUCCAUCUGCUGAGAUCUGUGCCUUAGCAGUGAAGGAUCAAAACUCUCAUGGAUCAGUCUGCCAAAGGGGAUCAGGUCUGCUUAGUAACUCAUCUCUUAAAUUUUCCUGAACACUUUUAUUUGUGAGUCAGUCCUGAUCUUACACAAUAUUGGGGUCUAUCAAAUUUAUCUCCUACAGUUCUGUUGUAUUUUGCUGUCUGCGUUGUGCACUGUAUAUGGGAUUUUGAUGGUCUAUUAAGUGAAGUUUAUCAUUAUAUAUAUUAAUCAGAAGGAUAUUAGUGUUAGAUUUAAAAAAAAACGGAUUCCCGAUGACGAACAUCAGUACUCUGAUCAGACGCAACGGUCUUUGUAACCACUAAGGGGCACUGCUGCACAGGAAACUCCGUAAGUCUUAAUAUACAAGCAUGUAGUUCCUGCUGCGGGCCAACAGGAGGCGCAGCGAAAAUUUGAAUUUUGUUUUCUAUAUAUACUUAUUCAUUGACUGAUUGGUCAUCAUUUUGAAUCAUGAAGCUUCCUCUGCUGCUGCUCUGCUCUGUGCUGCUGCUCUCCAUCUCAGGUCUGUCUCUUUUUUAAGGUUUAUUUAUCACAUGUUUAAGCUACAGAGUCAAAACUCUUUAAUGGCCAAAGUACCAACUUGUAAAGCUCCAAACUGAUUGAACCUCAAACUGACCACAGUUACUCUGCUGUCACUGUGAUGAUUAAUCUUGGAACAGAGCUCAGAUUAAAGGCCAGUGGAAAAAAGUUUUUUGGACUUUAGGAUUCAUUAAGGGAAUUAUUCAUUCAUGGACAUGUUGAUUUAUGAUGAAUAGAGUGUAAACACAGAUUAGUGUGUUUAUUUUUGUUUGCUUUAACAUGUUUUUUGUUUUUUACAGACAGACUGUGACAUUAAUGUGUUAACUAUGAACUGUUUCUGACUAUGAUCUAAGUAUGCAUUACUGAACUCCAUUAAUCAGGACUGAAAUUCUAUCUUUAUAAGGGAAAAGGCUGUGAGAUGAAAUAGUUCCUCUUUCACAGGUUGUCAACCUCACUUCAGGUCCUUUUUACAGAGACAGAAAAGAUGCAGAGUGAUGAUCUGCUGGGUCACAUUUCUGAGCCAAACACUGUGACAUCUUCCCAUUGUUCUCUAACGAAUGUGUUUGUGUGUCUUCAGAGAUACGGACUGAUAUUAGAUUGUUUUUUUAUCCAGUUUUCUCAUAGAGGAGGCUGUGGUUUUUUCUCUCAGUCCAUGUCACCGUCUUACGGCAAUAAAACAUAGCUUUAAGCUCCACCACAGUGAGCAAUAAUCAUUGGAGGACAGUAAAGAAUUGUAUUUAGUCUCCUCAAAGAAUAAUACUACAGCGAAUACUCAAAAAUGGACUUUGCCAUGACCUACAUUAACACACAACAGGUGGAUAUUUUUUCCCACCUUAUUGUUCACAGCUUGUAACCUUAGAGCCUUGCUUCUCUUCACACACCUGACUGUUAUCUACUGUUUUAUUUAGAAAAUUAAAAAAUUAGACCGGUCCCUUUUAAAGCUUUCAAUCCCUUCUCUGACAGAAAAGCCACACCUGCCACAUUCAUCUACAGAUUAUUACUCAGAUUGGAGUCACUCUCUGUUCAACUGAAUCUGAUGUGUAAUGUGUAUACGUGCAUGCGUGCAUGUGUGUGUGUGUGUGUGUGUGUGUGUGUAGUCCUGUCUCAGGAAAAUGAGGGUCCACCUGAUGGACAAGGAGACUCUGCUGAACCCUGGGCGGUAAGACUCAGAAACACACACAUUAACACACUAAUACUCAUGCAGAGCUCAGAGGAGUGGUGUGUUUCCGUUGAUGUUAAGUUGUAAACAUGAUUUCGUCACUUCUAAACCUUCUGGGGUGAAUUUACCAAGAACAGAGUGGAGUUGCCUUUUGUACCAUGAGUUGUGCAUCAUUUGCCUCUGCUCUGAGCUCCAUCUCCACCACUCAUGUACAUUUGUGUAGUAAUUAAAGGCUACAAAUUUAUUUAUGAGAUGCGUGUGUGUGUGUGUUUUUGCGUGUGUUUUUGUGUAUGUGUUUUUGUGUUUUAUCCAGGCGCAUUGUGAGAAAUACAAAUUACCUUACUGCCAUCGGGAUUAUAACCCUGUUUGUGGUGAUGAUGGCGUAAUCUACAGUAACGAGUGUACACUCUGUUUUCACAACUUGUAAGAUGUGCACACACACACACACACACACACACGCACGCACGCACGCACGCAGGCACACACACACACACACACACACACACACACACACACACACACACACACACACACAAAUCUGCUCUUUCAAUCCUUUCUACCUGUUAAGGUAAUUCCUUGAGACAGCUGAGUUCUCAGAGUUUUUUUGUGACCACUAAUAUCUGCUCUGAGAUCAAUCUGAUGUUUUCAUCCCAUUGUCUUUGCUCUUACUGAGCUCAGAUCAAUGGAUAGCUUAGUUUGAGCAGAGAGAGCAGUGUGUUGUUAGCAUGCAGAUGGAUCACGAUGGCUGCAUCACCGAGUUUAAAGAGAUUUUAGGGUGAACAGGUUGUAUUUCUGUGAGUUGGGCUCUUUUAUGCUCUAGUGAGACUUUGUGAGAUUCUGGAUACAUGAUUUUGGCCAGUAUGCAGUAUGUCUCCAGAAAAUAAAAAGAGGCUGAGAGAGGAACCCUGAGGAACACCAUACUGAGGUUUAUCAGAGAGACAGAAAAACUCCUGUCAGAGAUAUAUUUACAGUCUAUAGCUCCCACACUCUGAUUUCUCAGACUAGUUUUAUAAUAUUCGUAUUAACUCCACACACACAUUUCAAAUGUAAAAACUAACUCCUUGAAUAUUGUUCAAGAUUUUUUUUUUGUUUUUCUACAGGGAGAAUCACGCCACUGUGAAAAUCCUGAGAGAAGGGAAAUGCGAUUAACUGCUGUGUGCCACACACAUGCACACACAUACUGAAUAAAGUCUCAUACUGAUUCCCUCACA